AAACCGUUCAGGGGUAAACCUGAGGAACCCGAAAGAUCGAAUGGGAAGAUUCAGCGUCAGCGGCGAUUGCUCGGCGGAUCGUUGCGUCGUUCUCGGAACGGACUUUUUUCGGUCUUGGGACGACGCUAAUCUUUCCAUGCCUUGUUUCGUCGUCGUCGUCGUGCACUUCUCCCCUAGUAGAACGUCGCGACCCGUUGGGUGCCGGUCUACGGUCCGAGAGGAUUAGACUGUCGCGUCGUUUCGGCGCACGCGGCAGACCCUCGGUCACCCGGCCGGCUGCCCGGCGGUCGAACUCAUAAGGUAUCUUGCCGCAAUUGAACGAACUGCGUCGGGCCCGUCGCAAGCGAGGCCAGUGUCUAUCGCGCGGAGUUACGGACCUUGUGCCGUACCCGCGGCUGGCCAGCUGUUGGCAGGCGGAGUCCUUUGACGGGCAAUACACACAACGAUACCGGUCUGCGACGCUACUGCUUUGGGUACUCUCAGGACCCGUCUUGAAACACGGACCAAGGAGUCUAACAUGUGCGCGAGUCAUUAGGACUGCGAAGCCUAAAGGCGCAAUGAAAGUGAAGGUCGCACCGACUAAGGUCGACCGAGGGAGGAUGGGCCGCGUUAGCGCGCGGCUUUGCACUCCCGGGGCGUCUCGUUCUCAUUGCGAGAAGAGGCGCACCCAGAGCGUACACGUUGGGACCCGAAAGAUGGUGAACUAUGCCUGGUCAGGACGAAGUCAGGGGAAACCCUGAUGGAGGUCCGUAGCGAUUCUGACGUGCAAAUCGAUCGUCGGAACUGGGUAUAGGGGCGAAAGACUAAUCGA
rnacentral:rRNA from 1 species